UACGAAGGGGGCGAGCGUUGUUCGGAAUUACUGGGCGUAAAGAGCUCGUAGGCGGUUUGUCGCGUCUGCUGUGAAAACCCGAGGCUCAACCUCGGGCCUGCAGUGGGUACGGGCAGACUAGAGUGCGGUAGGGGAGAUUGGAAUUCCUGGUGUAGCGGUGGAAUGCGCAGAUAUCAGGAGGAACACCAAUGGCGAAGGCAGAUCUCUGGGCCGUAACUGACGCUGAGGAGCGAAAGCAUGGGGAGCGAACAGGAUAGAUACC
rnacentral:rRNA from 1 species